CAGCAAAUUAAAGUAAAUCCUACAGAGGUCAAUCAUUCUUCUGUUUCUCAACCUUCAUCUAAUCACAAUCACCAAAUCACAGUGUCUCCUCCCACUUCUCCUCCUCCUCGUCGCUCUUGCAAGCGUCCAGCACCUUGUAGUUCACAGGAAGCAUCUGAAGGCAUGGUCUCCAUGAAGAAAAAGCCAAGACUUAAUGGGUUAUUUAAAAAAAAAAGUCAAGAAAAGGAGACCCAAAAUCACCUCCUCAAACCCCAUCCCCAUGAGCAGCA